UGUAAGGUUAGACAGGUUGUGUGUAUCUGACCACUACUGUGGUAGGGUUGUAAGGUUAGACAGGUUGUGUGUAUCUGACCACUACUGUAGUAGGGUUGUAAGGUUAGACAGGUUGUGUGUAUCUGACCACUACUGUGGUAGGGUUGUAAGGUUAGACAGGUUGUGUGUAUCUGACCACUACUGUAGUAGGGUUGUAAGGUUAGACAGGUUGUGUGUAUCUGACCACUACUGUGGUAGGGUUGUAAGGUUAGACAGG